rnacentral:lncRNA from 1 species
UUUAUUUUUUCUACUUUAUUUUUUCUAUUUUAUUUUUUCUAUUUUAUUUAUUUAUUUAUUUAUUUAUUUUUUUUUUUUAAAUACAACAUACUUUUGGGGGGAACGUGCAAUUUUUUUUUUUAAGAAAUAGUUUCAUUUGUGCUUAUUGUUUUUAUUUGAUUUGUAAUUAUAUAUAUAUAUAUAUAUAUUAUAUUCCGUUUGUGUUCAUUUGAUUCUAAUCUUAUUUUGUCUUUCCAAAAACAAUAAUAUAAUUAAAACGUGCAAAAAAAAAAAAAAAAGAAAAAAUAGCAUAAAAUUUUAUGCAAAAAAUGUAACAUAAUUUGUGAUAAAAAAAAAAAAAAUAUUAUCACAAACGUCAUAGUUUUUUUUUUUUCAAAAAAAGUUAAAAUUAUACUAAUAUUUGUUAUAAUAUUACAGCAUAGCUAUUAAUAUAUAUAGGUUUAUAUAAACGUUUUUGCAUAUAGACAUUCUUUUUACGUAAAUGUGCUUAAUAAAAUGGAAGAAUAUACAAGAAAAGUACCUUAUUUUAAUGAUUUUGAAAAGAAAAAAGAUCUUUUAAAAUUUACAGCUAUAAAAGAUUAUGAAAAUGACGUUGAUAGAAGAGAUAUGAACAAAAAAAAAAAUACCGAAGAUGUUCAAUUUAUUAUGAAGAAAAGAUGGAACAUGAAAGAUAUUUUGACUCAUCGACUUGAUAUAAAUAAUAGAACACAAAAAGACGUACUAUCCGAAAGAAAAACUAAAUUGAAGAUAGAUAUUACUGAAAAUUACAAUGCUUAUGAAAAAAUAAAUCCAUUUUUUAUUGAUAAAAUUGUUACUAAGCCCGUAGUAACUAAAAAUAUAAAGGAAGUGUUAAAUAAUAAUUAUGAAGAUGACGAUCUCAAAAUCCGACUAUCGGAGAGCAUUAAUACCAAAUCAGAUUUAUAUGAAAAAAGAAAAGAAAUGUUUUUGAUGGAAUUAAAAGAAGGGCACAAAAUGGAAGAUGAUAAUGAAUUGAUAAGAAUCCAUCAAGGUGUACCUUUAGAUCCGGCUAAAGAUUAUACAGAAGCUGUAAAAAACAAAAAUAAGCAAAUGACUUUUAAAAAUUAUGGUUUUUGGCACCCCCCGUCUAAUCAUGUUUUUUCUUAUCCUGAUAUAAAAGCUAAAGGAAGAGGUGGCUAUGCUAGUGAAAUGAUAAAGGCACAAAUCAUUAAGAAUAAACAUGAAAAUAUUAAAAAUAAGAUGAAUGUGGAAAACAUACUGGAUAUAUAUAAAAAUAAAAAUCACGACAUCAGUUCAAACAAAGUUUUUCUAAUGAAAAAUAGAUUCAGAUUUAUUGGCUACACAAAGAAUAGUUAUUUUGUUGAUAAUUAUCUAAACGAGAAGUCUGAUAUCAUUUUAAGAUAUAAAGGUUUUCAAAAAAAAAAAUUGUAAAUAUGUAUUAUAAGAAUAAAAAAAGACUCCAAAAAAGACUUCA